GUGGGCAACCUUGGCGGGUGCCGUUGGUUAUCGGGAAGGGUUGCGAGCAGAACCCCGAGGUCAGGACUGUCGCUGUGGGGUUGCUGUAUAAAGCCUGUAUAACUGACAGGAAGGUCUGAGGAAAGCCGUAGAGGGCCAUGGCUUCGUGUAAAAAAUGCCAGUUGAGGCGAUCGAACGCCUUUUCGGCGUCAAGUGAUAGCAUAAUGCUCUCGGUGUUGGUAUGUUUUAGGAGAUGGUGUAGAUUCAGGACCUUUCUGGUAUUAUCUGGGCCAUGUCUGCCCGCCACGAAACCUACCUGGUCUGUGUGUAUGAGGGAGGGUAGUAUUGUUUUAAGUCGGUCAGCAUGGAUUUUCGCGUAGAGUUUCGCGUCUGCGUUAAGCAGAGAGAUAGGUCUGAAAUUUUGGCACACUGUUGGAGUCUUGCCUGGUUUGGGUAUCGUAAUUACGUGGGCAGACAGGAACUCAGUGGGGAAGGAGCUCUGGUUGGUUGCUUCAUUGAAGAAAUGGGUAAGGGAAGGGGCCAGUUCGUUUUUGAAUGUCUUGUAGUAUGUGUUUGUGUACCCAUCUGGGCCUGGCGCUUUACCUCUGGGCAGUGCCUCGAUGUGGCGAAGGACUUCUUCUAAGGUGAUUGGGGCACUAAGCUGUGUCGCUUGAUGUGCGUUUAUAGUGGGGAGUGCGAGGUUGUUGAGGUAAGACCUAAUGGAUGUCGGUGAGGGUCUGGGCACAUUUUGGUCGUCUUUUAAGUUGUAUAGAGAACCGUAGUAGUGGGCGAAUUCGUUGCAUAUGUGUGAGGGUUGCAGUACUCUGUGUCCAGUGUGCGUUUUUAUGUAUUGUAUUUUAGUUUGUGUCUGUUGGUCCCUAAGUCUGUGCGCUAGUGUUUUUGUAGCUUUGUUGCCCAUCGAGUAGGAUGUGGCUUUUAGGGUUUUCAGUGCAGCCGUUGCCUUGCGGAGGUGUAUAGCGUUAAUUUCGACUUGCGUGGAUUGUAUUUGCUGCUGGAGUGCUUUUGUGGGGCUUGCUUGGUUCGAUCUAUGGAGGUCUUGGAGCUUCUUAAGGAGUGAAAGCAUGGAGGAGUAGUUCAUUUUUUUAAGAUGGGCUGCUCUACUAAUCAGAAUGCCUCUAACGACAGCUUUGUGGGCUAGCCAGCGGGUGGCCGGGG